rnacentral:tRNA from 1 species
UAGCUCAGUCGGUUAGAGCGUGGUGCUGAUAACACCAAGGUCGCGGGUUCAAUCCCCCU